AUGGCAGCUUCACUAGGCGGCAUGUUCUCUGGGCAGCCACCGGGUCCUCCACCACCCCAGCCGGGACUCCCAGGCCAGGCUUCACUUCUUCAAGCAGCGCCAGGCGCUCCGAGACCUUCUAACAGUACUUUGGUGGAUGAGUUGGAGUCAUCUUUCGAGGCUUGUUUUGCUUCUCUGGUGAGUCAGGACUAUGUCAAUGGCACUGAUCAGGAAGAAAUUCGAACUGGUGUUGAUCAGUGUAUCCAGAAAUUUCUGGAUAUUGCGAGACAGACAGAAUGUUUUUUUCUACAAAAAAGAUUGCAGUUAUCUGUCCAGAAACCAGAGCAAGUUAUCAAAGAGGAUGUCUCUGAGCUAAGGAAUGAAUUACAGCGGAAAGAUGCGCUGGUCCAGAAGCACUUGACGAAGCUGAGGCACUGGCAGCAGGUGUUGGAGGACAUCAGUGUGCAGCACAAAAAGCCAGUCGACAUCCCUCAGGGGUCCCUGGCCUACCUGGAACAGGCGUCGGCCACUAUCCCUGCACCUCUGAAGCCGACCUGAGGGAGGGUAUGCCAGAGUGCCAGCGGCCUUGGACAGCUUGCCACACAUUUCUCAAGGACAUGGGUGGCAUUUUAGAAGAACUCUUUGCCAGGGAAUGAGUUGAUUUUAGUUUUAUGCUCCCACCUAAAAUUUUACCACUAUUUUUA